UGUUGUUUUGGUCAAGACAAGUGUGAACAACAGUGUAGAGAGAUUGUUUUCCUCAGGUAAGAUGUCAUGGAAGUGUUUCUAGCUUGUAGAUGCAAUCCAGAGGUCGUGGGGAGCAGCCGGAUGAACUAUGAGCGCUAACCAGAGGUUCUGGUGAUAGGAAUGUUUCUGUUUAAAGUCUUUGAAACGAGAAUAGUUUUGUGCGGUCGUGUGGAAAUUGAACAGAGAAAAAGCGCCAUGCGGUUAGAGGAUAGUUGUAAAGAAGCAAAGCAACAAUGGAAAAACGGUUUGCCCUUUCCCUGCCCUACAUUUGAGCUCGUGAUUUAGAGGAGCAUCCUCUGGAGGAGGACCUUCCGAUGCAGUUGGCCAGCACGCGAUGAACUUAAGGAUCGGUCUGGCUCCGGUCCUGGACAUCUGAGUGGAAGUGUCUAAACCUGUCGUGUGUCUACAAGCAGUGUUAAUAAUUCUACACAUCACGGACUAUCAUUGUAUCAAUCAGCUUCCAGUAUAUGUCAAGUAUAUGGACACAGUAUGAAUUUACCUGAGGAUCUCUCAAAGGCCAACUGUAAUGUAAACUUCGUGAUUGAAGAAGAGCUCUGUAAAGUCUGGAUAAUGGAUCUAAUAAGAAAUAAUAGCUAAAAUAAUAUAUAAUAAUAAA